AUUGAAAAAAACAAUAAGUGCAAACAAUGAUGGGAAUAUGUAUCUUGAGAAGUUAGUUAUUGGUGUUGUUGUUAUAGUUGUUGGUACAUGUUGUCA
rnacentral:sRNA from 1 species